rnacentral:rRNA from 1 species
UACGUAGGGGGCAAGCGUUGUCCGGAUUUAUUGGGCGUAAAGAGCUCGUAGGCGGUCUGUUGCGUCGGCUGUGAAAACCCGGGGCUCAACUCCGGGCCUGCAGCCGAUACGGGCAGACUAGAGUUCGGCAGGGGAGACUGGAAUUCCUGGUGUAGCGGUGAAAUGCGUAGAGAUCAUGAGGAAGACCAGUGGCGAAGGCGGGUCUCUGGACAGUUCCUGACACUGAGGCACGAAGGCCAGGGGAGCAAACGGG